GCACAUAUGAUCUAGCGGUUAUGAUGGGAGGUUCCCAACCUCUCUACCCGAGUUCGAGUCUCGGUAUGUGCA
rnacentral:tRNA from 1 species